ensembl:snRNA U6 U6 spliceosomal RNA
AUGCUUACUUCAGCAGCACAUAUAUUAAAAUUGGAACAACACAGAGAUUAGCAUGGCCUCUGUGCAAGGACGACAUGUAAACUUGUGAAGCAUUCCAUAUUUUA